CCUACGGGAGGCAGCAGUGGGGAAUAUUGGUCAAUGGACGCAAGUCUGAACCAGCCAUGCCGCGUGCCGGAUGAAGGCUCUAUGAGUUGUAAACUGCUUUUGUACGGGGGUAAACCCCGAUACGUGUAUCGUGUUGAACGUAUCGUAAGAAUAAGGGUCGGCUAACUCCGUGCCAGCAGCAGCGCUAAGACGGAGGAUCCGCGCGUUAUACGGAUGUAUUGGGUUUAAAGGGUGCGUAGGCGGUUUGAUAAGUUAGAGGUGAAAUGUCGGGGCUCAACCCCGAAACUGCCUCUAAUACUGUUGGACUAGAGAAUAGUUGCGGUAGGCGGAAUGUAUGGUGUAGCGGUGAAAUGCUGAGAGAUCAUACAGAACACCGAUGGCGAAGGCAGCUUACCAAACUAUAUCUGACGUUGAGGCACGAAAGCGUGGGUAGCAAACAGGAUUAGAUACCCUUGUAGUC
rnacentral:rRNA from 1 species